CUAAAAGCAACAGGAUCGCAUCCAGGUUACAGUAUUGAAAUUAGAAUCACUAAUUAUUACACCACAUCUCUUACCAAAUCAGAUCAUCUCCGAUAAGAAGAAUCACUGCCAAUCUAUUCCAGCUAUGACUUACAUCUGAAUUUCCAUAGCUCAACUCUAGCUUGCACCAACCUCAUCAACUUUCCUGAACACUCCUCGACCACUGGAUUCUCAACUCUGUCUCCUCGCCUAGCAUUAGCCUUAUUCACAAUCUCAAUCAAUCAUCUCAUCUUUAAGCCUUUCUGAAAUGGUUAGAAAGGAAUAGCAAGGGUGAGCAACAAUGCUCAGCAAGUAAUAAUAAACAAUGAUAGUUCUGAAAUGAUAUAAUAGAAGUUCACGAGUUCAAGAUAUAAGAGGAUUCAACCUGAGUUCAUGAGUUCAUGGUAUUGUAUAGAAUGAUUUACAAUACCUUGCAGCAUUUAAACUGAGAAAUUCAAUCUUUCCAAAGAAUUAUUGAAUUGGACUAUCACAUUUUAAUUAAAACCAAGGUUAGGCAGCUGAUCAGUUCCGCACUAACCCCGAGCAGGCCCCGCCAUGCUCUAUCACUGGAUCCAAGGCACUCAUUGGCCUAACAUGACCACGAAUCUGGUCCACAGGUUUAUAUAAAAACAAUAAUCCAAUUCUCUAAUUCAAUUCAACAAACCAACGUAUAUCAAUAGAACAAAAUCACAAUCAUUUAUCAAUAACAGAAAAAUUUCAAAUCAAACUUGACAAUCAACUUUUUAUAAACCAGAGUCCAUCCUUUCAUAAAUCAUAGUUCAGGAAAUCCUUAACUAUUCAGUAUCCUCCAUUAUCGGCUAAGCAACUGAAUUUAGCGAAGAAUAGCUCCGAACACAUGCACUUUUAAAUAUAGAAAGGAAAGGUACGAAUUCUUGCAACAGAUACCAAAGGAAUGGAUCAGAAUAUUUGCAAUAUAUCCAAGAGAAGGGUUAAGGAUACUUGCCUUAAAUCUGACUCCAGUUUCAUAGCUCAACCUCAUCUUUCAACUUUCACAAUCUAUGCAUUUCGAAAUCUCUAGACCAUCUCUAGCUAUACUCUAUUCACCACUUCGCUUCGCUUACUCGAUUCAUCCCUUAUUCGCUUUGCAAUACCAUUUCGACUUCCUGACGUCUUCGAGCGUACACGUCUCGUCCAAAUCCUUUACGAGAAUAAGAUAAUACUAUAGUCACUAAACAAUAUAUCGCAUAUACAUAUCACGUAUACCGAUACCCACUUAUAUACCCCUUUAAACCUAUCACAUAUCACUUAACACAUAAUCAUGCUUUGACUCUAACAUAUAGUCAAGUCAUAUUCCACAUAACAUGUUACAAAUCAAUUAUCAUAUAGAUCCUAUCGAUAAUCUGACAUCGUCUCGUCUAUUUAUUAGACUAUCCUCCAUCCUUUACGAGAAUAAGAUAAUACUAUAGUCACUAAACAAUAUAUCGCAUAUACAUAUCACGUAUACCGAUACCCACUUAUAUACCCCUUUAAACCUAUCACAUAUCACUUAACACAUAAUCAUGCUUUGACUCUAACAUAUAGUCAAGUCAUAUUCCACAUAACAUGUUACAAAUCAAUUAUCAUAUAGAUCCUAUCGAUAAUCUGACAUCGUCUCGUCUAUUUAUUAGACUAUCCUCUGGUCAACCUACUCUCAAUCAACAACCAAUCAACCAAUUUCAAUUCCUAUAAUCCAUAUGUUCUUAUCCAAUAUCAGUCAAGUCAUGACACCAUGUCAUUCAAAUCAUUUAUCCUGUAUAUAAUAUCAAGAAUAAACAUAUAUAUCACGUAAUCAUCAAUUAAUAGCAAUCAAAUAACAUAUAAUCACAUUUUGCACACUUAACAAAAAUUAUUCACAUUCUCGACUUCAUCAUAAUAUUAUGUCAUAUCAAACUAGCCUUUAUAAGCUUUCAUCUCUCUUUCAUAUCAAACUAGACUUUAUAAGCUUUCAUCUCUCUUUCGUUUCACUUGAUUCCGACUUACGGAUCAAAAGUUAUGACCAAAACCGUUUUCUGACUCCGCUCUCAACAUAUAAUACCUUACACCGAUAGCAGACAACACAUUACACAUUAAGUCUCCCAUCCCAAUUGAUGUCAAGUCAAGUCUUGGGUUAAAAAUGAUUUUUCGGGAAUUUUCUGGAAUUUUUAAACAUUUUUCGGAAUUAAAAUCGAUAAAAGAAUCACUUUUCGAAUAAAUAAUCAAGUCCCAAAUACUUGAAAUUGGACUUGAAAUCAUUCAUAAACAAUUAUCGAGCCUUGAAAAUAACUUGGAAAAAUAUUUCAAAACUCGAAACUAUUUUUCGGAAAUUUUUAAAUCAAAAAGGAUAAUUAAAUCCAAUUAAUUAAUCAAUUAAAAUCAAUUAAUAAUUAAUUAAAAUAAUUAAUCAAUUAAUAUUUAAAUUAAUUGACCAAUUAAAAUAAUUAAUUACUAAUUAAAAUUAAUUAAUAAACUAAUUUAGAUUUAUUUUUGAAUAAAAAAAAUAAUUAAAAACUAUUUUUGGAAUCAAAAUAAUUAAAUAAAAACAAUUUUUGAAAAUUAAAAUCAAAAGGUUUAAAGUGUAAAGUUUUGAAAACUUUCAGCCAGGGUCAAAACUGUAACUUUCAGAAGUUACAGGGGCUGUUUUGUAAGAUUUAAAACCUUAAUACUAAAACUUCAUCAUCUUUGUAACAUUGGUGACCAAACAGCAAUUUGCCGUCGGCCACCCCACUAACUCGCCGGAAAACGAUUAUCCGGCGUCCUCCACUCCCCAUAAACUCUAGGUAACUUCUUUACACUACCAGGAACAUCACCAUGCCCUCGUAUUCAACAGAUCACGCAAGGAUUGGCCGGAAAAAGCUUGAAAAAUCAAGCCGCCGUCGAGUUCUUCAUGAACUCCGGCGAGGCUGAUUACGGCUCCUCCAUUCAAUCCGACACGACCAAUAAGUUCCUCUUAACACACCCUAUUCAUUGAUAUCAACUAUACAUACCCAGAUUCAACCGUUUACAAAGCCCCAAAAUCCAAUUGAAAACAUUCAUAACCUCCCAAGAACAUUCAAGAACAAGCUUCGAUAAUCAAACCCCUUUUUCUAUAUGAUUCCGAACUCCAAAUUCAACAUAUAAUAUACCAAAACGAUGAGAAAAACACGCUCUACAACAUGGAAUCAUCAAAACAUUCAAAAAAUCACGUAUUCAAAAAUUCAUAAUUUAAAUCAUAUAAAUUCGAAAUUAAAAAGCUUAAUUAGCAAAAACCUGUCGAUUCUGCACUGAAACCACUGAUAGUAAUAGAUUCUAUGCGUCGAUAGCUUCGUUUUGACUAUUCAUACGCCUCCAUCGGAUUCCAAUAACACCUCCAAAUCCUCGUUUGAUUACGAAGAACACGAAGAACGCAGCUCGGUUUCUCUCGGUAUUCGUGA
rnacentral:lncRNA from 1 species